CACGUAGGGUGCGAGCGUUGUCCGGAAUUAUUGGGCGUAAAGAGCUCGUAGGCGGUGUGUCGCGUCGGCCGUGAAAACCUGCAGCUUAACUGUGGGCUUGCGGUCGAUACGGGCAUCACUGGAGUUCGGCAGGGGGAGACUGGAAUUCCUGGUGUAGCGGUGAAAAUGCGCAGAUAUCGGGGAGGAACACCAGUAGCGAAGGCGGCACUCUGGGGCCGGUACUGACGCUGAGGGAGCG
rnacentral:rRNA from 1 species